GGUCAUCGCUUCUCGGCCUUUUGGCUAAGAUGAAGUGUAGUAAAAAAGUGGUCAGGGAAGGCCUCUCUGAGAAGGUGACUGAGU